UNGCCUAGUAGAGAUGUGAACCCAGGGCUCA
rnacentral:piRNA from 1 species